CCUACGGGGGACAGCAGUGAGGAAUAUUGGUCAAUGGGCGCGAGCCUGAACCAGCCAAGUAGCGUGAAGGAUGACUGCCCUACGGGUUGUAAACUUCUUUUAUAAAGGAAUAAAGUGAGGCACGUGUGCCUUUUUGUAUGUACUUUAUGAAUAAGGAUCGGCUAACUCCGUGCCAGCAGCCGCGGUAAUACGGAGGAUCCGAGCGUUAUCCGGAUUUAUUGGGUUUAAAGGGAGCGUAGAUGGGUUGUUAAGACAGUUGGGAAAGUUUGCGGCUCAACCGUAAAAGUGCAAUGGAGACUGGCAGUGGGGAGGAGAGUGGAGGUAGGCGGAAGUGGUGGUGUAGCGGUGAAAUGCGUAGA
rnacentral:rRNA from 1 species